UUCAAGUACGAUGGUUUCCAUUUUUGCUUCGAGGAGAGAGAGAGCUGUGAGCAAACCUAGGGUUUCGACUUGAAUUGCAGACGACGUUGUUACCGAUCUCGAACAACACAGGCGACUGCUCCCGUGUUCGAUCCAUCUACAUAAGACCCAUCGAAAUUGGCCUUCAAAGUUCUUUCCUUUGGAGCUUUCCAACGCAGAGUUACAGAGCAUGUUGCGUGCCUCUUCAUUUAGAAUCUCUGGUUUUGGGCGUUUCUUUCGAAAGAUGUAGUCGUUUCUCGCCCUCCAAAUAAACACAGGACACUCGCAACGACCUCGAAAGACGGAUUCACCCAGAUCAGCGGAGUCCAAGGGCGCAACAAGAACAAGUGCUCAAUCGUCUCAGGUUCUAAGCUGCAAAUGGGACACGAGGCUUCAGGUAGUAUGUUUCUUCUACAUAAGUUGACCUUGAGAGGGAUAGUAUUCUGACAUGGAUUC